GAGCGGACAGGGAAGAGAGUUUUCGCAUGGAACACAGAUGCAUGGGGUUACGGUCCUGGAACUACAUCCUUGUAUCAGUCACAUCCUUGGGUGCUAGCUAUUACUCCAAAUGGAGAAGCAAUGGGUGUUCUUGCUGACACCACACUGCGUUGUGAGGUUGAUCUGAGGAAGGAAUCAAUAAUUCAAUUCAUUGCUUCAGCCUCA
rnacentral:misc_RNA from 1 species